rnacentral:rRNA from 1 species
GACGAACGCUGGCGGCGUGCUUAACACAUGCAAGUCGAACGGUGACGAAGAGCUUGCUCUUCUGAUCAGUGGCGAACGGGUGAGUAACACGUGAGCAACCUACCCUUGACACUGGGAUAACAGUUGGAAACAGCUGCUAAUACCGGAUAUGAACCUCACAGGCAUCUGAGAGGUUGGAAAGCUCCGACGGUCAAGGAUGGGCUCGCGGCCUAUCAGCUGGUUGGUGAGGUAACGGCUCACCAAGGCGACGACGGGUAGCCGGCCUGAGAGGGCAACCAGCCAAACUGGGACUGAGAUGCGGCCCAGACUUCUACGGGAGGCAGCAGGGGGGAAUAUUGCGCUAUGGGCGAUAGCCUGAGGGAGCAACGCCGCGUGCGGGAUGACGGCCUUCGGGUUGUAACCCGCUUUCAGCAGGGACGAAACUGACGGUACCUGCAGAAGAAGCACCGGCUCACUACGUGCCAGCAGCCGCCGUAAGAC